UAUUCAUCAAACUGGUCCAAUUACUAGGCACUACGCCAUUGAUAUGAUUACCCUCCAAUCUGAUAUCAACUAAAGAACCUAAAUUUGCAACAGAAUGACUCAAAGUACCACUAAGAUUAAAACACGACAAAUUAAUCAUCGAAACUUUACCAUCAGAAUUGCAUUUUAAUCAAAUUUAUAUCAUGUAUAAAGUUGUUGAGGCAUUUCCACAAACAGCUUGUGAGUGUACA
rnacentral:lncRNA from 1 species